AUUUAGCUGCCGAGUCCCAACUAUGACGAAACCCGCGUCCUGAAU
rnacentral:hammerhead_ribozyme from 1 species